rfam:Pediculus humanus corporis strain TSDA 1103172080147, whole genome shotgun sequence.
GCCUCGGUAGCGCAGUAGGCAGCGCGUAAGUCUCAUAAUUUUAAGGUCGUGAGUUCGAUCCUCACCCGGGGCA